GAGACAGGGUCUCACUAUGCAGUCUUAACUGUCCUUCUAUAGGGCAAGUAUUUCCACAGUACUUAAACCAAAUAAAGAUAAUAUACACAAAUAUACCUGUAGGACAGUAGUGGUACAUGCCUGUAAUCCCAGCAUUCAGGAGGCAGAGAUAGGUGAAUUACUGUGAGUUAGAGAACAGCCUGGUCUACAGAGUGAGACAAUAUCUCAAAAACAAAAGCCCCAAUAGCAACCCCCAAACCAACAGCAAAACAAACAACAACAAAAAACUUCAAACAAACAGGGUAGCGACAUGAGUAGAAACCUCUACAAAGAAGAUACACAAAUGGCAAAUAGGCUCGUGUGCCUGUGUGCACAUGUACACCCCCCCACCAAGU
rnacentral:lncRNA from 1 species